AAAAAAUUUGAGAUUGUUUAUCGAACAUUGAUUUUGAUCUUAGAUUUUUAAACUCAAAUAUUUAUCUAUGGAGAAUGUGGUAAAAUUUAUUUAUGAUCUUGUGAUAAAUUGAUUAAAUCAUAAGUAGUUAAAGAUUUUUUAUGAGAAAUUUAAUAUCUUUAUCUAGAAUUGAGAGAUUAAUUUUUGUUGCUCCUAGAUUGAUUUUGAUGAUUACAAAG
rnacentral:lncRNA from 1 species